UUACGGCCACAUCAUGGUGAAACACCAACUCCCGUAAGAUCACUGAAAUUAAGCAACGUCGAGCUUGGUCAGUACCUAGAUGGGUGACAGCUUGGGAAUACCGAGUGAUGUAAG